GUGGUCUUUUCUGUGCUGUACUCUUGAUAAUAAAUGAGAUCUCUCAUGAGAUCUGAUGGUUUUAAAAAUGAGAAUUUCCCUGCACAACUUCUCUCUGCACCUGCCGCCAUCCAUGUAAGAUUUCACUUUCUCCUCCUUGCCUUCCAUUAUGAUUGUGAGGCCUCCCCAGCCCUGUGGAACUAUGGAGUUUCACUCUUGUUGCCCAGUCUGGAGUGCAAUGGCACAAUCUCGGCUCACUGCAACCUCUGCCUCCCAGGUUCAAGCAAUUCUCCUGACUCAGCCUCCCAAGUAGCUAACAUUACAGGGCCCAUUACUGUCCGAUUCCGGCAGUUGACCCUGGUGAUUUCACAGCAGCAAACACUGCGGGCGUUCCCAACUCACAAGGCAAACUCUGUAUAUGGGCACAUCACCUGCAGGUCCAGCUGUCUGUCAUGUCAUUCCCAUAUUGAAGGAACAUAAUCUGUUAUUAAGCCAAUUCAGCCCUAGAAGAAGGAAGAAGUUUCCACUGUGCGAUCUUUGAGUUUGGAAAACUGGAUUUGAG
rnacentral:lncRNA from 13 species